UAAAGUCCUUUAUUCAGGGAACAAGUUGUAAGAAAUCAUUGGCCAAUUACAUUGGAAAAUCUGUGUUGGUUAACUUCUAAGAAACAUGUGGGACCUGUUCAAGAUUUGCCUUUUACUUCUACAGUAAGCAUGAUUGGUGUGGAGUUGAGAGUUGAUUGCAGGAGGAGAAUGGGGGGAAAGGGAAUAGGAAACAAUUAUGACUCAGGAUCCUCCUAACAGCAGAAGUCAAAUGAGCAGGCACUCUUAUAUCGCUUUAGUUUCCUCCCAAGGUUUUUUAGCAGUAGGGAUACAUGCCAAGGGGAGGAAUCUCAUGUUCAACAUCGACACAAUGAAACUGCUGCUAGAUAUGAACUUGAAAACUCCUAGCUACUAUGAAUUUUCUUUAUGCUCAUUCUGUCCGUGUUAGUUUAGCUAGGAUAUUAAUUUGCAAAAAAAAGAAUAUAUGACAGUGCUAGGUCACAAAUUGGUCUCCACAUUUAUGUACUUUUCUUUCUAAACCAGAAAACGGUUCCCACGCACACACGUAGCAUAAGCAUACCUGCAAGUCAUAUGCAAAGUCCCUGAAUCUCUGACUCUCUGGCAGUAACAACCACAGCUGUUGUUUUCUUCAAGAAACGGCCACUGCUAUGUGCUGUGCAGAGAAACAAGGCUGCUGGGCCCAGUGACAAAACUUAGGAACAGUUGAAAGUACUUCCAGGAACCUGCUCCCGGCAUCAAUCAAUGUAGGCCAUGCAAGUACCUAACGCAGAUUCAUCACGCAUCCUGUGCCUCCAAAGUUGGUACAAUAUCGCACAUCUCCUUUGACCUGAUCAGCAUCCAUGCACGUGUGUUAGCUAGGGAAAUAAGCCCCAGGCUGUACAGAAGGCAACAUGUCACACACGUUCUCUGGCCUUGGCCAUUAGAUGAGCCAUCGAAAAGUUUCAGUAAGGUGGGAAAAGUCACCUAACUCAGCAUGAUUCUACGAUAAGACACAACAAUAAUGUCCUAAUGAUCUUAGACAUUACCCUUCAUCUAGAAAACCUGCAUUUCUUUUAAGGCACCACGCUGCUGUAGCGGCAUACUUUUAUCCACAAAGGCGUGGGAUACGAAUCCCUGUUCCCAUGAUGACCAAUAUAAAAAAAUCCCUGCAUACAGUCUUAGCGUUAAUCAAUACCUUCUUACCUGUAACGAUACUUAUGUAUAACAAAAGUACCAGUAUUAAUUAGGAAGCAAACCUCUCGCUUUUGGUUAUGCCAUUUCGUGUACUUUGGCAGCUUGGUUUCACAUAUGAUAUAUGAUGUAUUGCCAUGUGUAUGGAGAGGUUCCUAGAGACUUAUGGUUUGUUAGGGGUGGGCCUACCGUGAUAUAGAAGGUUAAAGUGAGACAUCAGACCGAUUACUGAUCUAUUGUAAGAUUGUACAUGCCUUGGUAAGGUAAUUCAAACCAGUAACUGUAACAUUCCGAUUCAAUCACUGUAACAUUCCAACUCACGAAGGGUGAAACUAAAAAAAAGGCAGCCUGGUGCACAUAGCUCCCGUUUACGCAGGGUCCGGGGAAGGGUCCGAUCACUUUGGGUCUUUCGUACGCAGCAUUUCCCUACAUUUCUGCAAGAGGCUGUUUUCAAGACUCGAACCCAUGACCUCAUGGUCACAAGGCAACAGCUUUACCUCCAAGGCAUGGUCACGAAGGGUGAAAUUACAUGAUCACAAAUUUAUGUGAUUAGUUCACAAAGCUAUUGUGUAUGGAUAUGUUUGUUGAAGACAUUCUGUACUCGCAACUUUGCAGAACUUUCAUAAGAAUAGUUGUUCUUCAAGUGGUGAUGGUACUAUUGAUAUUUCAUCAGUGUUACAGUGUGCAUUUGUAUUAACUCGUCAAUAAAAUAAUUACUGAGUUUAAAGUUUAAACUUUUAUAAGAAUCUCCAUCUACACUUGUCUACCAAAUCACCAAAGCUUAAAGUUCGAGUAACUACAACACCAGAAAUGAAGACCGAAACAUGACAUAGGGCAUAGCACCUUUGGAAGAAAAUCAGAUGAUUUAAACCUUUGGAGUUACUCCCUCCAUUCCUAAAUAUAUGUUGAGAUUCCAAUAUAGACUACAUAUGGAGUAAAAUGAGUGAAUCUACACUCUAAAGUAGGUCUAUAUACAUCUGUAUGUAGUUCGUAUUGAAAUCUCUAAAAGGACUUAUAUUUCGGAACGGAGGGAGUACUUGAUAGAAGAGUUAUUGUCGAAGCAGUUGACAAUGCCUGGUAGCUCACUUAUUUUAUACGCAUCGUCUAACAACCCAGCUGCCCUGCAGCAUCUCACAGUUCUUUCCCAGAAACCACCCUUCUUUCUCUUCCCUACAUGCGCCUCAUCCUCCUACUAUAUAAACCACCCCAUUCUGCACCUCAUAACCCACAAGAGAAGUAGAAACAAACAAAUAACAAGUCUCUUCUAUUACUUGUAACAAAGUGCAGCUAAGGACACUUACAUGGCGACUUCCAUGAGUUGCCUGCUGGUGCUAUGCCUUGUCUGUCCCCUCCUUGCUGGUGUUGUACGUGCCAACCCAUGGUACGGCUUGUUCCCACAGUUUUACGACCACUCUUGCCCGAAGGCAAAGGAGAUUGUGCAAUCCAUCGUGGCGCAGGCUGUUGCCCAGGAGACCAGGAUGGCAGCAUCCUUGGUCAGGCUGCAUUUCCAUGACUGCUUUGUCAAGGUCUCUGUUUCAUCUUUCCUGUAGUAUCCUUUACAUUUUUCUACACCGCUACAAUGAUACUUGCUGAACAUAGUUCCUGCAAUGUAGUACAGAAAAUUACUAUUUCAUUGUGAGUCUGUGACUAAUAGGAUAAGCUAUGCAUUUUAUUUCUGAUCUUACAGCAGUUCCAAUGCUCAACUAAAUGCCUAAAGUGUUAUUUUUGCUAUAUUUGUCCUUCAUAUGGGGAACCUUGUCCUCAGGAACAUGGAAGAAUCUGUAGUUCCUAGGCUAAACUUUUAGUUUUACCUAUGAUAAGAUAGCCUGCCUACAAUGCCCAUACGACCACUACUUAUUGUCUUGCGAGUCCGUACCAUGAUUGCUUUUUCCCCGAAAAGAUGGCGAUUGCUUAAUUCAAGUGCACAAUAAUUGGCACUCUCCAUGCAAUGCUCAUCCUUCACAAAAUGCAUGUACCUGUCCAAUGAAACUGCUAUUUCGUUGCAUGUGCCCAAUCUGUGUAGUACCAGUAACUUUUUCUGACAUUUUUUUUCCUUCUGUGCAUAGGGGUGCGACGCAUCCGUGCUACUGGACAACAGCAGCAGCAUAGUCAGCGAGAAGGGGUCCAACCCCAAUCUGAACUCCCUCCGGGGGUUCGAGGUUGUCGACCAGAUCAAGGUCGCCCUUGAGACAGCCUGCCCCGGUACUGUCUCCUGCGCCGAUAUCCUCGCCCUUGCCGCCCGUGACUCUACUGUCCUCGUAUGUGCACACCAAAAAUAAUUCUUUCCCAGAUAGCACGGGUUAAACAAUGCAGCCAGUAUUUGAGAUUCUUUGGGACCCAAAUUAACCUGCAGGUUGGUGGCCCUUACUGGGACGUGCCACUCGGCCGCAGAGACUCUCUGGGCGCGAGCAUCCAGGGAUCAAACAAUGACAUCCCUGCCCCCAACAACACCCUACCCACUAUCAUCACCAAGUUCAAUCGCCUCGGUCUCAAUGUCGUCGAUGUCGUCGCCCUCUCAGGUGGCCACACCAUCGGCUUGUCCCGCUGCACCAGCUUCCGGCAGAGGCUGUACAACCAGUCGGGCAACGGCCUGGCUGACAGCACACUGGAUGUGUCCUACGCUGCGCAACUAAGGCAGGGGUGCCCCCGCUCCGGCGGCGACAACAAUCUCUUCCCACUCGACGUCGUCAGCUCGACCAAGUUUGACAACUUCUACUUCAAGAACAUCCUUGCCGGUAGGGGUCUCCUCAGCUCUGACGAGGUCCUGCUUACCAAGAGCGCGGAAACUGCAGCACUCGUGAAGGCGUACGCGAAUGAUGUGCAUCUCUUCUUCCAGCACUUUGCACAGUCGAUGGUGAACAUGGGCAACAUCAUGCCACUGACCGGGUCACAGGGGGAGAUCAGGAAGGACUGCAGGAGGCUCAACAACGAUCACUGAGUUACUGAAGCUCCUGUAAGUGCUGAAUUGUGUGUGAAGUUGGCGCCAUAUUUUGUUUGAAUAAGCAAGUGUGGUUGUAAUUUUCGAAAUCGCUUGAUCAUUUGUGUUAUGUAAUUGCAUUAUGAAAUGUGUGUAAUAAUAAUUCAAUAUAUAAGAUGAGUUCACUUGUUUGCUUUAGAGCUGGUUGUUUGACAUAACUUACCAAGUUCUCACUUCCAAAUUCCACUCAUGGCACACAUCCACCUAUUGUUCAACAGCUCUCGUGGUACUCCAGCUGUGCUGACUUCAAGAUUUAUCAUCUGUCAAAAUAAAAUGGAUCAAAAAAAAAGUUAGUCUUUCAAGAUACUUAUAAAUUAUUGAUUCAAUCUUGUUAUGCCUCCAAGAAAUAUCUUGGACGGUUAUGUAACCACUAAAACUAAAUAUGACUUGACCAAGUUUGCGCUGACGACCACUAGGAUACACCACAUCAUAUUGCUGUGCCAUACUAGGUUCAUACAACAAGUAAACCUCCUAAUUUCUAAAUGAAGAAAAUCAGGUACAUGUGAUUCUUUUCAGCACAAGUUGUUCAAAGCUGGCAGCAGUGUUAUCUUUUGAUGACAGCUGGAGAAAGCAGGAUGCCAAUCAAAUUGGAACAAGAGCAAAUGAGGAGAAGUGCCCAAAAAAGAGGAGUCCAGUCUCCUCCCUUGCUCAUCGGAAGAGCAAGCAAGGAAUUAUCACACAGUAAACUAGUCAUACCAAGUUUCACCAUAGUAAUCAGAGAUGCAAAUCAUGUUUGCAAAAAUAAAUUCAAGGAUCUGUGAUGUUGAUAUUUCAUCAAACAGAUAGGUAUAGGGCAACUUGCAUUGCAAACCCUCAGUUCCUGCUUUCAUACUACACUAGUAUUGUUAGAACUCAUGGACGAGAGGUGUAAUCAUUACCGAACAGGAUACUUGGUUCCAGCAGAGAGGAAUUUAUUUGUAGACUCUAUGCUUGAAGUCACUCAUUAGCUGAGAACCACCAGCUCAACAUCCAGAGAAACUGGGAGCAAACUAAGGCAUUUCAUAAACUGUUUGCUUUGGGGAAUUAUUUUUUGAGCUUCUUGUGUCAGGGGUUCAUGAUAUUUCUUUACAACACCCAAAAUGACACGUAGGUUUCUUGAGAAUCAUUGUUUUAGUCAUGUUUAUCUGAAACCAGUCAGUUCCAAGAUAGUUCUGGGUAACCUCACCCAAUUGAAUUAAAAGUUUUUUGAAAAAGUAAAGACCAUCUAAUAAACGGGCGCAUAAAUCUAAGUAUAGAGCAAGGGUGAUUGUGUUCAGUUCAUAUGUAAAAGGUGCCAUUUUCAGAAAUUUGUACAGGGACAAAUGGAAAGGCAGACUAGCCGCUUUAACAUGUAUUUACAGAAUCUGUAUGUGAAGCAGGAGACAAGUGCAUCAUUACAUUGUCAAAGAUUCCAAAGGAAACAUAUUCGAAUAGGGCUAGAAAGUGAAAAUAAUAAGACAACGAGGGAACAAAGAGCAUAUACUUAAACUAAUUACCUGCAGGUCCAUUGCUCUUACAAGCUUUCUGUUUGCACCAUUUUCUCUCGUGUGGUGUUUUUUUUUAUCACCAAGCCUUGGUAGCUCUACUAGUAGUUUACUACCCUCAGUUGAUCUGAUUAGCCGUUUAAGUGCAUUUCUUGCACGAAGAAGUGCCACUGGUUUCCUCCUUUCUCAUGCCCUACCCAGUGUACAAGAUCUUCUGUUGCCAACUGCC
rnacentral:lncRNA from 1 species